rnacentral:rRNA from 1 species
CAGCAGCCGCGGGAAUACGUAGGUGGCAAGCGUUGUCCGGAAUUAUUGGGCGUAAAGGGCUCGCAGGCGGCCAUUCAAGUUAGAUGUGAAAGCCCUGGGCUCAACCUAGGAAUUGCAUUUGAUACUGUUUGGCUUGAGUUCGGGAGAGGUGAGUGGAAUUCCCAGUGUAGAGGUGAAAUUCGUAGAUAUUGGGAAGAACACCAGUGGCGAAGGCGGCUCACUGGACCGACACUGACGCUGAGGCGCGAAAGCGUGGGGAGCAAACAGGAUUAGAUACCCCAGUAGUCCCUGUCUCUUAUAC